rnacentral:rRNA from 1 species
AACUUACUUAGCUUGCUUUGAAAGUUUCUAGUGGCGAACGGGUGAGUAACACGUGAGUUACCUGCCUCGAAGUGGGAGAUAGCCCGGGGAAACUCGGAUUAAUACCCCAUGUGAUCGUAAGAUUAAAGGCGGCUUCGGCUGUCGCUUCGAGAUGGGCUCGCGGCCUAUCAGUUAGUUGGUGAGGUAAAAGCUCACCAAGACGAUGACGGGUAGCUGGUCUGAGAGGACGACCAGUCACACCGGAACUGAGACACGGUCCAGACACCUACGGGUGGCAGCAGUCGAGAAUCAUUCGCAAUGGACGAAAGUCUGACGGUGCGACGCCGCGUGGAGGAUGAAGGCCCUAGGGUCGUAAACUCCUGUCAUCAGGGAGUAAUUACUUAUGUAGUAACUGACAUAGGUCUUGAUAGUACCUGAAGAGGAAGGGACGGCAAACUUCGUGCCAGCAGCCGCGGUAAUACGAAGGUCCCAAGCGUUGUUCGGAUUUACUGGGCGUAAAGCGUCUGUAGGCGGGAUGGUAAGUCAGAUGUGAAAUCCCGGGGCUCAACCCCGGAACUGCAUCCGAUACUGCCAACCUAGAGGGUCGGAGGGGAGUCUGGAAUUCUCGGUGUAGCAGUGAAAUGCGUAGGUAUCGAGAGGAACACUCGUGGCGAAGGCGAGACUCUGGACGACACCUGACGCUGAGAGACGAAGGCCAGGGUAGCGAAAAGGAUUAGAUACCCUUGUAGUCCUGGCAGUAAACGGUGCACGCUUGGUGUGGGAAGGUUCGACCCUUUCCGUGCCGGAGCUAACGCGUUAAGCGUGCCGCCUGGGGGAGUACGGUCGCAAGAUUAAAACUCAAAGAAAUUGACGGGGACCCGCACAAGCGGUGGAGCAUGUAGCUUAAUUCGAUGCAACGCGAAGAACCUUACCUGGGCUUGGCAUGUUAGUCGUAGAUUUGUGAAAGCUUAUCGUCACUUCGGGUGGACUAUCACAG